rnacentral:rRNA from 1 species
UACGGAGGGGGUUAGCGUUGUUCGGAAUUACUGGGCGUAAAGCGCGCGUAGGCGGACCAGAAAGUUGGGGUGAAAUCCCGGGGCUCAACCCCGGAACGGCCUCCAAAACUCCUGGUCUUGAGUUCGAGAGAGGUGAGUGGAAUUCCGAGCGUAGAGGUGAAAUUCGUAGAUAUUCGGAGGAACACCAGCGGCGAAGGCGGCUCACUGGCUCGAUACUGACGCUGAGGUGCGAAAGUGUGGGGAGCAAACAGG